UACGUAGGGUCCGAGCGUUGUCCGGAAUUACUGGGCGUAAAGAGCUCGUAGGUGGUUUGUCGCGUUGUUCGUGAAAACUCACAGCUCAACUGUGGGCGUGCGGGCGAUACGGGCAGACUGGAGUACUGCAGGGGAGACUGGAAUUCCUGGUGUAGCGGUGGAAUGCGCAGAUAUCAGGAGGAACACCCGUGGCGAAGGCGGCUCUCUGGUACGUGACUGACGCUGAGACGCGAAAGCGUGGGGAGCGAACAGG
rnacentral:rRNA from 1 species